rnacentral:tRNA from 1 species
GUGGCCGUAGCCUAGCGGUAAGGCGCCUGAUUGUGAAUCAGGAUAGAGCGGUUCGAUUCCGCUCGGUCACCC